AAUGAAGUCAUAACUUGAGCGGCUUCUACAGUCAUGGUCUGGACUUCUAGGAACCUGCUGGCCCACUGCUCACUUUUUUCCAAAUCUUACUGUUGUCUCCCAACCACGUAUAUGUUUAAAUCUCACACAUUACAUCAGAAAUAGUGGUCCUAUCACACCACUGUUGUCAAACAACAAUUUGUAACAAAAUAAAUAGUGUUUUUUAAAUUAAUCACAUCACGUCUUUUCCUGGUUGCUUAAUUGUUCAGAUUGCAUACGGAAGACAGCGUACUAGGACCCGGUCUGGGAUUUGCCACCAGUCAAGAGAAGUCAUACAAAAACCUUGACAUCUGAAUCUUUAAUGGUUUUACUAUAUUCGAUUUUGAAAAACAGUAUGUUGGAAACACAGGAGGCUGGUGAGGAGAGGACGGCUCAUAAUAAGGGCUGGAAUAGAGUAAAUGGAAAAAAAUCUAAAAUCUUGAAACCAUGUGUUUGAUGUGUUUGAUACCAUUCCAUGAAUUCAAUUCCAGCCAUUACUAUGAGCCCGUCCUGCCCAAUUAAGGCGCCACCAGCCACCUGUGGUGGGAAUACUGCCCAUGUCUCACCAUUAUGCUUGUGAAACAUAUUCAUUUGAAACAUUUUAUUGUGAUCCAACAGUACACCUGUGAAAUAUAAGAGUUAGCCAAUGUGAUGAGUGUUCAAGUCCAGGUGGUGGAUAGGAUGAGUUUUUCCUCACAGUGUAAAGGUGCUCUUUAUUCUACAAAAAAUCUAUGUGUAAACACACAUCAUCCCUACAUUAUAUCUGUCUUCUAUCACCUUAGAGACCAGUAUUCACAAGCAGCACAUGGAGAAUAUCCUUUGCUACUUUAAUGUUCUUGUUUUUUAAUAUGUGAUAUCAUCUGCAGGUAUUGUGAUUGCUGCAUAAGUAAUUGCCUCUGAGGACAAAGUUAUCUGCAUCUAAAACUGACCUGUAUUAACUCUGAUCACCACUAGAUGGUUGUCACUGACCAGAUUAUGUAGAAUUACAUUACUAUCCAGAAAAGUAAAUGUGUAUUUGGUAUAGAAUAGAUAUGUUGUAUUUGGUGAAGCCUGUAGACCUGAGACCAGUGGGGUAGUCUGCAAAGCAGGAUCAAUUAUUUCUGAGAUAGACCAACGUGCUCUGAAAUAAACAUGUCAUUACAUGUCUGUAUGUAAAGUCUUAACUGUGCACUUGGAACUCCACCCCCUCUUUUCAGAUAAAAAGGGGUGGAGAAUGUAAAGAGAAAACUGAAAGUAAAAAACUGUAGAAAAAGUUUUUGAGACAAAGAGUUACUGGGAGUUAUCUGUCCAACACAGACACAUUAUCAAGCUGCUACUCCCCAGUCUAGCCAGGAUCAAUCUGCAGUCAUGGAGACAAAGCAGUAUGGUGCCCAAUUUGUGGAUGAUAACAUGGAAAAACUUGUUCAAAGGAUUACCAUGGUGAUGCCAAUAGCAGAUGGCCUAUACCAGAAGAAAAUGAUCCAUGAUGAGGAUUACUAUGAAAUCACUGCGGCCCAAACCAGUAUGUCAAAGAUGAGAAAGCUGUAUGUGGCCCUGAAACCAGGAGGAGUGGUGGCUAAAUCAGCCUUUUACAAAAUUCUACUGGACCAACAAUCUCUUCUAGUCGAAGAACUGGAUAAGCUCCUCUCUCUCCUCUUUUGGUGGGGUUGGCCAGAAAUGAAGUCAUAACUUGAGCGGCUUCUACAGUCAUGGUCUGGACUUCUAGGAACCUGCUGGCCCACUGCUCACUUUUUUCCAAAUCUUACUGUUGUCUCCCAACCACGUAUAUGUUUAAAUCUCACACAUUACAUCAGAAAUAGUGGUCCUAUCACACCACUGUUGUCAAACAACAAUUUGUAACAAAAUAAAUAGUGUUUUUUAAAUUAAUCACAUCAAGUCUUUUCCUGGUUGCUUAAUUGUUCAGAUUGCAUACGGAAGACAGCGUACUAGGACCCGGUCUGGGAUUUGCCACCAGUCAAGAGAAGUCAUACAAAAACCUUGACAUCUGAAUCUUUAAUGGUUUUACUAUAUUCGAUUUUGAAAAACAGUAUGUUGGAAACACAGGAGGCUGGUGAGGAGAGGGCGGCUCAUAAUAAGGGCUGGAAUAGAGUAAAUGGAAAAAAAUCUAAAACCUUGAAACCAUGUGUUUGAUGUGUUUGAUACCAUUCCAUGAAUUCAAUUCCAGCCAUUACUAUGAGCCCGUCCUGCCCAAUUAAGGCGCCACCAGCCACCUGUGGUGGGAAUACUGCCCAUGUCUCACCAUUAUGCUUGUGAAACAUAUUCAUUUGAAACAUUUUAUUGUGAUCCAACAGUACACCUGUGAAAUAUAAGAGUUAGCCAAUGUGAUGAGUGUUCAAGUCCAGGUGGUGGAUAGGAUGAGUUUUUCCUCACAGUGUAAAGGUGCUCUUUAUUCUACAAAAAAUCAAUGUGUAAACACACAUCAUCCCUACAUUAUAUCUGUCUUCUAUCACCUUAGAGACCAGUAUUCACAAGCAGCACAUGGAGAAUAUCCUUUGCUACUUUAAUGUUCUUGUUUUUUAAUAUGUGAUAUCAUCUGCAGGUAUUGUGAUUGCUGCAUAAGUAAUUGCCUCUGAGGACAAAGUUAUCUGCAUCUAAAACUGACCUGUAUUAACUCUGAUCACCACUAGAUGGUUGUCACUGACCAGAUUAUGUAGAAUUACAUUACUAUCCAGAAAAGUAAAUGUGUAUUUGGUAUAGAAUAGAUAUGUUGUAUUUGGUGAAGCCUGUAGACCUGAGACCAGUGGGGUAGUCUGCAAAGCAGGAUCAAUUAUUUCUGAGAUAGACCAACGUGCUCUGAAAUAAACAUGUCAUUACAUGUCUGUAUGUAAAGUCUUAACUGUGCACUUGGAACUCCACCCCCUCUUUUCAGAUAAAAAGGGGUGGAGAAUGUAAAGAGAAAACUGAAAGUAAAAAACUGUAGAAAAAGUUUUUGAGACAAAGAGUUACUGGGAGUUAUCUGUCCAACACAGACACAUUAUCAAGCUGCUACUCCCCAGUCUAGCCAGGAUCAAUCUGCAGUCAUGGAGACAAAGCAGUAUGGUGCCCAAUUUGUGGAUGAUAACAUGGAAAAACUUGUUCAAAGGAUUACCAUGGUGAUGCCAAUAGCAGAUGGCCUAUACCAGAAGAAAAUGAUCCAUGAUGAGGAUUACUAUGAAAUCACUGCGGCCCAAACCAGUAUGUCAAAGAUGAGAAAGCUGUAUGUGGCCCUGAAACCAGGAGGAGUGGUGGCUAAAUCAGCCUUUUACAAAAUUCUACUGGACCAACAAUCUCUUCUAGUCGAAGAACUGGAUAAGCUCCUCUCUCUCCUCUUUUGGUGGGGUUGGCCAGAAAUGAAGUCAUAACUUGAGCGGCUUCUACAGUCAUGGUCUGGACUUCUAGGAACCUGCUGGCCCACUGCUCACUUUUUUCCAAAUCUUACUGUUGUCUCCCAACCACGUAUAUGUUUAAAUCUCACACAUUACAUCAGAAAUAGUGGUCCUAUCACACCACUGUUGUCAAACAACAAUUUGUAACAAAAUAAAUAGUGUUUUUUAAAUUAAUCACAUCAAGUCUUUUCCUGGUUGCUUAAUUGUUCAGAUUGCAUACGGAAGACAGCGUACUAGGACCCGGUCUGGGAUUUGCCACCAGUCAAGAGAAGUCAUACAAAAACCUUGACAUCUGAAUCUUUAAUGGUUUUACUAUAUUCGAUUUUGAAAAACAGUAUGUUGGAAACACAGGAGGCUGGUGAGGAGAGGACGGCUCAUAAUAAGGGCUGGAAUAGAGUAAAUGGAAAAAAAUCUAAAACCUUGAAACCAUGUGUUUGAUGUGUUUGAUACCAUUCCAUGAAUUCAAUUCCAGCCAUUACUAUGAGCCCGUCCUGCCCAAUUAAGGCGCCACCAGCCACCUGUGGUGGGAAUACUGCCCAUGUCUCACCAUUAUGCUUGUGAAACAUAUUCAUUUGAAACAUUUUAUUGUGAUCCAACAGUACACCUGUGAAAUAUAAGAGUUAGCCAAUGUGAUGAGUGUUCAAGUCCAGGUGGUGGAUAGGAUGAGUUUUUCCUCACAGUGUAAAGGUGCUCUUUAUUCUACAAAAAAUCUAUGUGUAAACACACAUCAUCCCUACAUUAUAUCUGUCUUCUAUCACCUUAGAGACCAGUAUUCACAAGCAGCACAUGGAGAAUAUCCUUUGCUACUUUAAUGUUCUUGUUUUUUAAUAUGUGAUAUCAUCUGCAGGUAUUGUGAUUGCUGCAUAAGUAAUUGCCUCUGAGGACAAAGUUAUCUGCAUCUAAAACUGACCUGUAUUAACUCUGAUCACCACUAGAUGGUUGUCACUGACCAGAUUAUGUAGAAUUACAUUACUAUCCAGAAAAGUAAAUGUGUAUUUGGUAUAGAAUAGAUAUGUUGUAUUUGGUGAAGCCUGUAGACCUGAGACCAGUGGGGUAGUCUGCAAAGCAGGAUCAAUUAUUUCUGAGAUAGACCAACGUGCUCUGAAAUAAACAUGUCAUUACAUGUCUGUAUGUAAAGUCUUAACUGUGCACUUGGAACUCCACCCCCUCUUUUCAGAUAAAAAGGGGUGGAGAAUGUAAAGAGAAAACUGAAAGUAAAAAACUGUAGAAAAAGUUUUUGAGACAAAGAGUUACUGGGAGUUAUCUGUCCAACACAGACACAUUAUCAAGCUGCUACUCCCCAGUCUAGCCAGGAUCAAUCUGCAGUCAUGGAGACAAAGCAGUAUGGUGCCCAAUUUGUGGAUGAUAACAUGGAAAAACUUGUUCAAAGGAUUACCAUGGUGAUGCCAAUAGCAGAUGGCCUAUACCAGAAGAAAAUGAUCCAUGAUGAGGAUUACUAUGAAAUCACUGCGGCCCAAACCAGUAUGUCAAAGAUGAGAAAGCUGUAUGUGGCCCUGAAACCAGGAGGAGUGGUGGCUAAAUCAGCCUUUUACAAAAUUCUACUGGAACAACAAUCUCUUCUAGUCGAAGAACUGGGUGGGGUUGGCCAGAAAUGAAGUCAUAACUUGAGCGGCUUCUACAGUCAUGGUCUGGACUUCUAGGAACCUGCUGGCCCACUGCUCACUUUUUUCCAAAUCUUACUGUUGUCUCCCAACCACGUAUAUGUUUAAAUCUCACACAUUACAUCAGAAAUAGUGGUCCUAUCACACCACUGUUGUCAAACAACAAUUUGUAACAAAAUAAAUAGUGUUUUUUAAAUUAAUCACA